rnacentral:lncRNA from 1 species
AUAUAUCAUAUAUAAACUAUUACCAAACUGUGUGUACGAUAGUAUAGAUCAGCCACUCUCAGUUUCUCUUUUUUGUUCUGUCUUUUGGCCUCUCUCUAUCAGUCAUGCUAGUAAAUAUAUAUAGGAACAAAUUAGGUUAAUGAUAAUGGGCCUAAGUUUAUUUUGAAACCCAAUAUUAAAUUAAAAACUGAAUAAAGUUAAAUAAUUAAAAUAGUUAAAAUUAAAAUAAAAACUAAUUAACCUAUUUAUUUAUUCUAGACCCAAUAUAAAAAUAAAUAGACU